rnacentral:rRNA from 1 species
AUUGAACGCUGGCGGCAGGCCUAACACAUGCAAGUCGAACGAGCGGCGGACGGGUGAGUAAUGUAUGGGGACUGCCCGAUAGAGGGGGAGAACUACUCGAAACGGUGGCUAAUACCGCAUACUAUCGGAUAACCCAUAUGGGAUUAGCUAGUAGGUGAGGUAAUGGCUCACCUAGGCGACGAUCCCGAGCUGGUCUGAGAGGAUGAUCAGCCACACGGGGACUGAGACACGGCCCAGACACCUACGGAGGCAGCAGUGGGGAAUAUUGCACAAUGGGCGCAAGCCUGAUGCAGCCAUGCCGCGUGUAUGAAGAAGGCCCUAGGGUUGUAAAGUACUUUCAGUCGGGAGGCGUUACCGACAGAAGAAGCACCGGCUAACUCCGUGCCAGCCGCCGCGGUAAUUC